rnacentral:rRNA from 1 species
AACGUAGGAGACAAACGUUAUCCGGAGUUACUGGGCGUAAAGGGCGUGUAGGUGGUUUCGUAAGUCUGGCGUGAAAUUUUUCGGCUUAACCGGGAAAGGUCGUCGGAUACUGCGGAGCUAGAGGACGGUAGAGGCGUGUGGAAUUCCGGGUGUAGUGGUGAAAUGCGUAGAUAUCAGGAGGAACACCUGUGGUGUAGACAGCUUACUGGACCAUUUCUGACGCUGAGACACGAAAGCGUGGGUAGCAAACAGG